GCCGGGUGUGAUGGCAUGCACCUGUAAUCCCAGCUACUUGGGAGGCUGAGGCAGGAGAAUCACUUGAACCUGGGAGGUGGAGGUUGCAGUGAGCCAAGAUUGCACUGCUGCACUCCAGCCUGGGUGACAGAGUGAGACUCUGCCUCAA
rnacentral:sRNA from 1 species